GGCCGUGUGGUGUAGUGGUAGCAUACUUGCUUUGGGAAUUUCUUCUCACAAAGUGCAUUGUUGCAAGUGGUCCCAGGUUCGAGCCCUGGCUCGGCCC